rnacentral:rRNA from 1 species
UACGAAGGGGCUAGCGUUGUUCGGAUUUACUGGGCGUAAAGCGCACGUAGGCGGAUCGAUCAGUCAGGGGUGAAAUCCCAGAGCUCAACUCUGGAACUGCCUUUGAUACUGUCGAUCUGGAGUAUGGAAGAGGUGAGUGGAAUUCCGAGUGUAGAGGUGAAAUUCGUAGAUAUCGGGAGGAACACCGGUGGCGAAGGCGGCGACCUGGGUAGAUACUGACGCUGAGGUGCGAAAGCGUGGGGAGCAAACAGG